UAUCUAGCUUGCUAGAUAUGAUUAGUGGCGGACGGGUGAGUAACAUUUAGGAAUCUGCCUAGUAGUGGGGGAUAGCUCGGGGAAACUCGAAUUAAUACCGCAUACGACCUACGGGUGAAAGGGGGCGCAAGCUCUUGCUAUUAGAUGAGCCUAAAUCAGAUUAGCUAGUUGGUGGGGUAAAGGCCYACCAAGGCGACGAUCUGUAACUGGUCUGAGAGGAUGAUCAGUCACACCGGAACUGAGACACGGUCCGGACUCCUACGGGAGGCAGCAGUGGGGAAUAUUGGACAAUGGGGGCAACCCUGAUCCAGCCAUGCCGCGUGUGUGAAGAAGGCCUUUUGGUUGUAAAGCACUUUAAGCAGGGAGGAGAGGCUAAUGGUUAAUACCCAUUAGAUUAGACGUUACCUGCAGAAUAAGCACCGGCUAACUCUGUGCCAGCAGCCGCGGUAAUACAGAGGGUGCGAGCGUUAAUCGGAAUUACUGGGCGUAAAGCGAGUGUAGGUGGCUCAUUAAGUCACAUGUGAAAUCCCCGGGCUUAACCUGGGAACUGCAUGUGAUACUGGUGGUGCUAGAAUAUGUGAGAGGGAAGUAGAAUUCCAGGUGUAGCGGUGAAAUGCGUAGAGAUCUGGAGGAAUACCGAUGGCGAAGGCAGCUUCCUGGCAUAAUAUUGACACUGAGAUUCGAAAGCGUGGGUAGCAAACAGGAUUAGAUACCCUGGUAGUCCACGCCGUAAACGAUGUCUACUAGCCGUUGGGGUCCUUGAGACUUUAGUGGCGCAGUUAACGCGAUAAGUAGACCGCCUGGGGAGUACGGCCGCAAGGUUAAAACUCAAAUGAAUUGACGGGGGCCCGCACAAGCGGUGGAGCAUGUGGUUUAAUUCGAUGCAACGCGAAGAACCUUACCUGGUCUUGACAUAGUGAGAAUCCUGCAGAGAUGCGGGAGUGCCUUCGGGAAUUCACAUACAGGUGCUGCAUGGCUGUCGUCAGCUCGUGUCGUGAGAUGUUGGGUUAAGUCCCGCAACGAGCGCAACCCUUUUCCUUAUUUGCCAGCGGGUUAAGCCGGGAACUUUAAGGAUACUGCCAGUGACAAACUGGAGGAAGGCGGGGACGACGUCAAGUCAUCAUGGCCCUUACGACCAGGGCUACACACGUGCUACAAUGGUAGGUACAGAGGGUUGCUACACAGCGAUGUGAUGCUAAUCUCAAAAAGCCUAUCGUAGUCCGGAUUGGAGUCUGCAACUCGACUCCAUGAAGUCGGAAU
rnacentral:rRNA from 1 species